rnacentral:rRNA from 1 species
GACGUAGGGGGCGAGCGUUGUCCGGAAUUAUUGGGCGUAAAGCGCGCGUAGGCGGCUCGGAAAGUCGGAUGUGAAAAUCCGGGGCUCAACCCCGGACCUGCAUCCGAUACUCCCGAGCUGGAGGCAGGCAGGGGAGAUCGGAAUUCCUGGUGUAGCGGUGAAAUGCGCAGAUAUCAGGAGGAACACCGGUGGCGAAGGCGGGAUC